GACAGUGAAGUUGGUUGUCGAAAGCCCUCUAUUUCCGAUCACCAUCAUCACGUGCUUGACGGAUUUUAAGGAAAAUUUCCAGCUGCCAUCGUAAAUUAUGCCGCCAUGCGACAGAGCUAUUUUGCCGCAACGCCCACUCCAGUUCUCUACGACCAAAAAACAAUACGUUCAUUACACAAGCCAAUAAUAUUGCUCCCAAUAUUUUCUGCGACACUUGACAGUGAACAGCUCCUCAGAACAUCAUGACGUAACACUUAGCGGCACGGCACUGCAUCAACGACAUGAAUUUGCUGGCUCUUAUAUUGGCGUCCUUCGCAGCAAGAAUCUGUGCUUCAAAUUUUUCGCAGGCACACAUUGACCCACCAAUGUGGUACACGGCUCUACAAAACGUGGCUAUCAGGUUAUGCACAAGAGCUCCUUGCGAACCCCAAAAGACAUUUCUUGGCUUUUGCGGUAUUGGAUGCACGUGUAGGCGAUGGAAGAAUGGUUACCAGUGCUUGUCGAUAUUUGACUUGGACUAAAUACGAGGAAUAAAGAAAAGA